UAGGUGCAGUAGAAUUACAAACCACUGAAAGAACAAAAUUAGCCCUUUAAAUAUCCUUCGCCAAGUUUAUGAAAGUAUUGUUAACUUAAUCCAAAAGUAGUCACAUGCUGAACUUUUCCCUUGCGAACAUCUUACUUCACUGGUGCUAAUAAAAUUCUUGAAUGGUUUUAUUCUUUUCCAAAAGUCACGCCAUUACGAAGAUGUCAGUGCCCAGAGGAAGAGCGUAAAGUUAUAUUUAUAAAGCAGAGGUACUUGGGUAGAAAUCCUUACAUUCAUCUGAGAUCAGACUAAGUAAAAUUGCUUUCAACGACUGUUUCAAAUAAUUUUGGUAUUUUAGUCUAAUUAGGCAUUUCUUUUGCUUAUAUUUCCUUUGAUUAGUGACUUCAUAGGAUUCAUUAUCCAACAACUACAUCAAAUAUUGACUGUUUCUUGGCAGUACAGAAGUGGAGCAGCCCAAAGGUACAGAGGUUGUGAGAGAUGCGGUAAGAAAACUGAAGGAGCUAACUUCUUCCAAGGUCAGGAGACCAAGACAUCUGCAGUCUUGACAAAAGAUGGCCAAAGAAGGAAUGGGGGUUCAAAAUGACUGGAGGUAACUAUUCUUUUUUGCCCUGCCCGUAAGAAGAGGGACUUCAGGGUGGCCAGGCUCUUGCAGCAAGGAAGUCUCUUGGAGGAAACUCUGAAGAUCUUGAGUACUUUGAUCUCUGAGCUGUGGUCUUCUCCCUUCUUCAGCCUCCAAAGGGAGACCUGUAUGACGUAAUCAUGAUGACCUGGAAUCAGAACUGCUCUCUGCCCCUCCUUCAUCUACUUGGAAGUCUCACUUUUUUAGAUCCCUUUCUCCCUUGAGAAAAGAUUAGAGUAGAGAGUAUCAGAGAUGCCAGUCAUUGGGAAGCACAGCUUCAGCAAGCUUACUCCUUCACUGUCUCAGCCCACAUUAACCAGAAGGAGCUGUCUACAUCAGUCAUUAAUGGACCACACAGAAGAUAGGUAGGCACCAUUUCAUUUUGUGCUUCAAAAGCUGUAGUAUUGUCCUAUCUGGUAGAUGUUCAGAAGGCACCAUUAUCUGCUAUACAAUAAUCAUAAGAAAAGAGUAGGACACAGAUGCCUCUAGUAAAAACGGGUUUCCAGUCAAAACUGGAAUGUACUGCUUGGGGCAAGUUAGUUACCAUCUAAAAACAUCUGAAAACAAAUGGGGAG
rnacentral:lncRNA from 1 species